GAUGAACGCUGGCGGCGUGCCUAAUACAUGCAAGUCGAGCGAACGGACGAGAAGCUUGCUUCUCUGAUGUUAGCGGCGGACGGGUGAGUAACACGUGGAUAACCUACCUAUAAGACUGGGAUAACUUCAGGAAACCGGAGCUAAUACCGGAUAAUAUUUUGAACCGCAUGGUUCAAAAGUGAAAGACGGUCUUGCUGUCACUUAUAGAUGGAUCCGCGCUGCAUUAGCUAGUUGGUAAGGUAACGGCUUACCAAGGCAACGAUGCAUAGCCGACCUGAGAGGGUGAUCGGCCACACUGGAACUGAGACACGGUCCAGACUCCUACGGGAGGCAGCAGUAGGGAAUCUUCCGCAAUGGGCGAAAGCCUGACGGAGCAACGCCGCGUGAGUGAUGAAGGUCUUCGGAUCGUAAAACUCUGUUAUUAGGGAAGAACAUACGUGUAAGUAACUGUGCACAUCUUGACGGUACCUAAUCAGAAAGCCACGGCUAACUACGUG
rnacentral:rRNA from 1 species